UGUUUACUUUGUGUACUGAAUUAAACAGAUAUCUUCAAAUAAUCACUGAAGGACCUGGAACUGCAGCUGGUUUAAGAGAUGCUUAUUUUAUGACAAUGAAAGGGAAACAAUAUCUUCAAAGAGGAAACAUAGAAUUUUUCUUCAAUCAAGAACGAUAAAAAAGACAUCCCUCCAGGAACAUAAAAAAAGAAGAGGCGAAACAUCACUGGGAAAACACCAUCCCAGUUGCCUUCUGUUGGCAUGUAUCAUCGAGAAGAUAAUAGUGGAAACUAAUAACUACUUGAAUUGCUGACCCACCAAUUUCUGAAUAUUAAAAACCUGACAUGGAAGGAAGGAAGAGUUUUACAUAGAGUUCCUGUAUUACUAAUAAGUGGGCAAAAUCUCAUCCUCAGCAUUUGUCCAAGGCUGCUGCACUGAGGCAAUGCCAUCUGAGCAAAUCUCAGGUAUGCUGUGCCUUUCCAAGGACACUCCUAGUCAGAGAUCCAGGUUUCUGUGCAUUCAUUUGUGAAGAGCAGUCCUCCCUGCCACUGACCAGGAUGAUCCAGCUAGAAAGAGUCAGAUGAAAGACAUAUACACAGUUGAAUGCCCUUCAGUGUGUAACUCCAAUAAAAAAGGAUUAAAACAUGUCAGUUUUAUUAAGUAACAUUAAACGACUGUGUACUAAUUGGUUUAUACUUUGCUAAACCUUCACGUUACUGCAGCAGAUGUUCCUGGCUUUAUAGCAUCUCCAAUACUAGUAUGUAGUGACACGUCUUUAAACUGCCUUAAUCAAGUCGCAUUUAAUUUCUUACUCUAGAUCUAAGAUAAAAUGCUAAAACGUCCUUGGAGAAAACACUAAUGAGACAAGUAAAAAAUCUAUUACAGUUUGUGUGAAAACUUUUGUCUGUUCACUUUAUCCAAAUCAGACUUUCUUAAACUGUUGUUAAAAACAAAAAACAACAAAAAGGAAAAACAACAAAAACAAACAACUCAUGUACCUGUCAUUUCACAUCCUCACUCAUAUUAUUCUGUGGCUUGUUUUCUUGUCACUAAUUGAAUUCAGAAGCUACACAGUAGUGGCUUGUUUGCUUUUUCUUGGGAGGAGAACAAAUAAAAAAUGAACAAAUAAAUGCUGCAAACUUGACAGCUGCUACUGGUUUAAAUUAUUUUGAGUGUAUGUUUGUGUAUAUUUAUUAACACUUGACUAUUUAAGAGACCAAAUGUAAUUUUACUUUGAUAAUUUCACUGUUGGAGUUUCUAAUCUCAUAUAUUCAGGUUAAAUUCAUUCUUAUGACACUUAACAAUGAAACAAUUUUAUUUCUGUAUUCUGCAUAUAAUUUUCAUUUAAAUAAACCCUAUAUCUACUCCCUCUCUUCCUCAGCAUAAAUUGGCCUGUGGACAUUUUUGUGAAUAGACUUUACAUUGGAAAAUGAGCAAAGGAAAAUUUGUACUUUGGCCCAUAGAAAUUGUAAUAAAACUUGAAUUUU
rnacentral:lncRNA from 7 species